CGUUGUUUGUCCAUUCAUCUUUCAAGAGAACAUGGCGAUCGGCAUCAAUCGAGUACACUGUUUCAUUGCAAUUUUUUGCAUCGAGGUGGUGCAAGAAGAUACGAAGAAAUUAUGAGUGACGAUGCCCAAUUUGAUUGUUUUGUUCACAGGAAUGUCCAUCAUCCAAUGAAGAUUGUUCACAGAGAUGUCAACGACAAGGUUUGAGUAGUGGCAGUUGUCAAGGACGUCUAUGUUGUUGUCCAACAAAUACACUCUAAAUCUAGCUAUAUACCCCAUUACAAGUUUAUGUAUGAAUUAUGGCUUCAUCAAUAAAAAAUAAAAACAAACACAUUGAAUAAAGUUUA